GCGGCCCUAGCUCAGCGGUAGAGCAUGACGUUCCCAACGUCGGGGUCAGGGGUUCGAACCCCCUGGGCCGCU
rnacentral:tRNA from 1 species